GAUGAACGCUGACAGAAUGCUUAACACAUGCAAGUCAACUUGAACUUCGGUUUGGGUGGCGGACGGGUGAGUCACGCGUAGAGAACUUGCCUCACAGUUAGGGACAACAUUUGGAAACGAAUGCUAAUACCUGAUAUUAUGAUUUUAGGGCAUCCUAGACUUAUGAAAGUUAUAUGCGCUGUGAGAGAGCUUUUCGUCCCAUUAGCUAGUUGGAGAGGUAACGGCUCACCAAGGCGAUGAUGGGUAGCCGGCCUGAGAGGGUGAACGGCCACAAGGAGACUGAGACACGGCCGUUACACCUACGGGAGGCAGCAAGGGGGAAUAUUGGACAAUGGACCAAGAGUCUGAUCCAGCAAUUCUGUGUGCACGAUGAAGUUUUUCGGAAUGUAAAGUGCUUUCAGUUGGGAAGAAAAUAAUGACGGUACCAACAGAAGAAGCGACGGCUAAAUACGUG
rnacentral:rRNA from 1 species